CCUACGGGUGGCUGCAGUGGGGAAUAUUGGACAAUGGGCGAAAGCCUGAUCCAGCCAUGCCGCGUGUGUGAAGAAGGCCUUCGGGUUGUAAAGCACUUUCAGUGGGGAAGAAAGCCUUGGGGCUAAUACCCUCGAGGAAGGACAUCACCCACAGAAGAAGCACCGGCUAACUCCGUGCCAGCAGCCGCGGUAAUACGGAGGGUGCGAGCGUUAAUCGGAAUUACUGGGCGUAAAGCGCGCGUAGGCGGUCUGAUAAGCCGGUUGUGAAAGCCCCGGGCUCAACCUGGGAACGGCAUCCGGAACUGUCAGGCUAGAGUGCAGGAGAGGAAGGUAGAAUUCCCGGUGUAGCGGUGAAAUGCGUAGAGAUCGGGAGGAAUAACAGUGGCGAAGGCGGCCUUCUGGACUGACACUGACGCUGAGGUGCGAAAGCGUGGGUAGCAAACAGGAUUAGAUACCCCAGUAGUC
rnacentral:rRNA from 1 species